rnacentral:pre_miRNA from 1 species
AGAGUGUAAUUCAGCCAAGGAUGACUUGCCGGCCUGGCCUUGCCUGCAGCUAUCUACAACACCCGCCAACGCCGGCAAGUUGUUUCUUUGGCUACAUUGUACUCUUU